GACGAACGCUGGCGGCGUGCUUAACACAUGCAAGUCGAACGAUGAAGCGGGUGCUUGCACUCGUGGCUUAGUGGCGAACGGGCGAGUAACACGUGAGUAACCUGUCCUUUUCUUUGGGGUAACGGCUGGAAACGGCUGCUAAUACUGGAUAUUCAGGCUGCAUCGCAUGGUGUGGUUUGGAAAGGUUUUUUCUGGGAUUGGGUGGGCUCGCGGCCUAUCCGCUUGUUGGUGGGGUGAUGGCUUACCAAGGCUUUGACGGGUAGCCGGCCUGAGAGGGUGGGCGGGAGCAGUGGCACGGAGAUACCGCCCAGGGGACGACGGGAGGCAGCAGUGUGGAAUAUUGCAGAAAGGACGAAAGAGUGAUGCAGCGACGCCGCGUGGAGGGUGUAGGCCGUCGGGUUGUGAACUCCGGUAGCACGCGAAAAAGGCAAAGUUUUGGCUGUAUUGAUGGUAGUGGGAGAAGAAGCGCCGGCUAACUACGUG
rnacentral:rRNA from 1 species